CAUGGCAAAGUGAUAUGCGCCCGACUUGUAAUCAGUAGGUCCCGAGUUCGACUCUUGGUG
rnacentral:tRNA from 1 species